GUGGGCAAGGCAGAAGGCUGAAGAUUAAAUUGAAUCGUCUGGUUUGUUUUAUAAAGGAGGGGUGGAUCUCUCUCUCUCUCUCUCUCUCUCUCUCUCUCUCAUCCUCUUGUGUCUUCAUUUUUCCACUUACUCUAAAACAAGGCCUUUUUGUCCGAGACCUCAUCAAACUCACAUGGUUCGGAAGAGAGAGGACGCAGAGGUGGGACAGAACGAUCGCAGGGAGGAUAAAGUGCACAAAGGAGAGCUUCAGACACUCAGGAGAAUGACUUCUUUUGGGUCAGCAGAGCUUUCGGCUGCCUUCUGUUUAUUCUUUCAGCUCCUGAGCGAAGGACAGAGGAACACGGCGUUCCAAUGAAUAAAAAAAAUAAACAAACAAGAACAACAGAGGAACAAGAUUCCAGGACCUGGGAAACCGGAACGGGAUUCUAGAAACUGGAAAACUAGGACAAGUUUGUAGAAGCGGGUUGGAAAAAAUCAUCGGAAAACGCUUUGUAGACUCGGAUAGAGAGCGGAACAAGCUCCUAGAAGCCGGAGAACUGGAACGAGGUUCUAGAAGCAGGAGAACUGGAACGAGCUUCUAGAAGCCGGAGAACUGGAACGAGGUUCUAGAAGCCGGAGAAUUGGAACGAGGUUCUAGAAGUGGAACGAGUAGAGCGGAACGAGGUUCUAGAAGCCGGAGAACUGGAACGAGGCUUCUAGAAGCAGGAGAACUGGAACGAGGUUCUAGAAGCAGGAGAACUGGAAGGAGCUUCUAGAAGCAGGAGAACUGGAACGAGGUUCUAGAAGCAGGAGAACUGGAACGAGGUUCCAGAAGUGGAAAGAGAGGAGAAAAGGUUUCCAGAAGCAGUAAGACGGGAACCAAAUUCUAGAGACCAAAAAGACUCUGGCUCUAGUUUCUAGAGCCAGAGAGAUAGUGGAAGAAGGUUCUAGAAUCUGAAAGAUGAUGAAGUAUGAUUCUCGAAGCGGAAAGAUUAGAAGAAAAUUCUAGAAACUAGAAGAUUGGAAAAAGACAGUGGAAGAAGAUUCUGGAAUCUGAAAAACUGGAGAUUUUUUUCAUCCACAAUUUUGGAAAAAAGUGGAAAGGCAGCCGAAGGAGGUUCUAAUAGCAGAAAGACAGUGGAACACAUUUUUGGAAAAUUUACACCUCCGGACCUCAAACCACAAGGCGGAAUAUAAGGACCCUAAAGGAACAUGGAGAACGGAAAAACGGAAGGUGAAGUUGAUGAGCCCGAGUCACCGAACCCAGUUUUCUAGCGAGUAUCUUCACAGGUUUAGUUUUUGCAGGUUUGCUAAACCUUCUGGUUCUGGGAACCGCUUCUGCAACAGUAUUACUUAGGAAUACUGAAUCUAACAGUCAGGACCGUGUUCAGUGUCGAGUCUGAAAUUGUACACAUCGAUAUUCAGAGCCUCAGAAGUAAGUCCAGUCUUCUUCAGACGUUAGGUCGGUAUGCCGUUUACGUUUGGGCUGUAAAUACGCUCGGAAAACGAUCCCAUGCCAUCGGGUUCAGCGAUAUUAAACCCAUCGAUAGGAAUCAUCUUAAUCGGUCAGAUUUCUCGGCGGAUGAAGUCACGAAUGACCUUUUAUAUGAGCUGUAAGCGUAGCAGACGAGUGCCCGGUCAGCUUGUCCUUCAAACUGUCGGCACGCUUUCUUUACUGGAUGGCGCAUCGAAUGAACUAAAACAUCACCGUCAUUUUAAUAAAAAUGAAUUUCAACCCACGAUCGAUAGCGUACAUCCGACGACCGCGGUUUAAUACCGUACGGUUCCGUUCAAGGUGCGCACAAUUACCUGCGUGUAAAUCGUUAAACGUGAAACAACAGGACGUGCUCGAUGAAGCUGCUGAAUAACGAGGGUGGAAGCCAUACUACUGAACUAAUUUGUAUUAAAUGUAAUCAUUACAACUAGGACAUGCAGCAAAGCGGAAAAAAAACAACAACAAACCAACGUAUUUCUUUGUACGGUCCGCAUUUUGUGUGAUAAAAGCGUUUGCUAUAUCGUCCGAAGAGUUUGAAUAAUGGCCACGCUGUCUGGGUGGGAGGGGCAUCGUCUAGCCGAGUGUGUUAUGCAGCCCUGUGAUGCAGCAGGAGCAGCAGUUUCUUUAAAAAAAGAAAAUUCACGUGUCUGAGAGGAAGCACGUGUUGGGCUUUAUCCUCCCUGGUUGGGAGUUGGAGAGAAAGAAAUGUGGGAAAAACGAAUAGUCUACUUAAAUAUAAAUGUUAGUCGCAACAUUUUAUUAAUCAUGACUACAUUAUACGUUUUCAGAACGUUGCAGCAAUGCUAUUUUUGUAACCUUCGUAAAACCUGACGAAUGCACGACUACACCUUCUGAGUACAUUCUAGCUGGGAUCUUCGCCUCUAUUAAGACUUAACGAGUUUAAACGGGUUAAGUAGCCGUGAAUAAAACGUGUUUUGGAUGUAAGAGAUUAAAAACGAGUGACAAGGACUGAAGGAAGGAAGCCAUUACAACCUCAUGGGUCCUGUGGAAAGCAUUCGUCCUGCAGUCUGGACAUGUUCAUGGGUUCUAAACAUUUGACACCACUUUUUUCUUAG
ensembl:lncRNA